rnacentral:rRNA from 1 species
UACGGGGGGGGCAAGCGUUGUUCGGAAUUACUGGGCGUAAAGGGCUCGUAGGCGGCCAACUAAGUCGGAUGUGAAAUCCCCAGGCUCAACCUGGGAACUGCAUCCGAUACUGGAUGGCUUGAAUCCGGGAGAGGGAUGCAGAAUUCCAGGUGUAGCGGUGAAAUGCGUAGAUAUCUGGAGGAACACCGGUGGCGAAGGCGGCAUCCUGGACCGGUAUUGACACUGAGGCGCGAAAGCCUGGGGAGCAAACGGG